UACGUAGGGGGCAAGCGUUGUCCGGAUUUAUUGGGCGUAAAGAGCGUGUAGGCGGUUAGGUAGGUCCGUUGUGAAAACUCGAGGCUCAACCUCGAGACGCCGAUGGAAACCAUCUGACUAGAGUCCGGAAGAGGAGAGUGGAAUUCCCGGUGUAGCAGUGAAAUGCGUAGAGAUCGGGAGGAACAUCAGUUGCGAAGGCGGCUCUCUGGACCAGCACUGACACUGAGGCACGAAAGCGUGGGGAGCAAACAGG
rnacentral:rRNA from 1 species